rnacentral:rRNA from 1 species
GACGAACGCUGGCGGCGUGCCUAAUACAUGCAAGUCGAACGAACUCUGGUAUUGAUUGGUGCUUGCAUCAUGAUUUACAUUUGAGUGAGUGGCGAACUGGUGAGUAACACGUGGGAAACCUGCCCAGAAGCGGGGGAUAACACCUGGAAACAGAUGCUAAUACCGCAUAACAACUUGGACCGCAUGGUCCGAGUUUGAAAGAUGGCUUCGGCUAUCACUUUUGGAUGGUCCCGCGGCGUAUUAGCUAGAUGGUGGGGUAACGGCUCACCAUGGCAAUGAUACGUAGCCGACCUGAGAGGGUAAUCGGCCACAUUGGGACUGAGACACGGCCCAAACUCCUACGGGAGGCAGCAGUAGGGAAUCUUCCACAAUGGACGAAAGUCUGAUGGAGCAACGCCGCGUGAGUGAAGAAGGGUUUCGGCUCGUAAAACUCUGUUGUUAAAGAAGAACAUAUCUGAGAGUAACUGUUCAGGUAUUGACGGUAUUUAACCAGAAAGCCACGGCUAACUACGUGCCAGCAGCCGCGGUAAUACGUAGGUGGCAAGCGUUGUCCGGAUUUAUUGGGCGUAAAGCGAGCGCAGGCGGUUUUUUAAGUCUGAUGUGAAAGCCUUCGGCUCAACCGAAGAAGUGCAUCGGAAACUGGGAAACUUGAGUGCAGAAGAGGACAGUGGAACUCCAUGUGUAGCGGUGAAAUGCGUAGAAUAUAUGGAAGAACACCAGUGGCGAAGGCGGCUGUCUGGUCUGUAACUGACGCUGAGGCUCGAAAGUAUGGGUAGCAAACAGGAUUAGAUAACCCUGGUAGUCCAUACCGUAAACGAUGAAUGCAAAAGGGGUUGGAGGGUUUCCGCCCUUCAGUGCUGCAGCUAACGCAUUAAGCAUUCCGCCCUGGGGAGUACGGCCGCAAGGCUGAAACUCAAAGGAAUUGACGGGGGCCCGCACAAGCGGUGGAGCAUGUGGUUUAAUUCGAAGCUACGCGAAGAACCUUACCAGGUCUUGACAUACUAUGCAAAUCUAAGAGAUUAGACGUUCCCUUCGGGGACAUGGAUACAGGUGGUGCAUGGUUGUCGUCAGCUCGUGUCGUGAGAUGUUGGGUUAAGUCCCGCAACGAGCGCAACCCUUAUUAUCAGUUGCCAGCAUUAAGUUGGGCACUCUGGUGAGACUGCCGGUGACAAACCGGAGGAAGGUGGGGAUGACGUCAAAUCAUCAUGCCCCUUAUGACCUGGGCUACACACGUGCUACAAUGGAUGGUACAACGAGUUGCGAACUCGCGAGAGUAAGCUAAUCUCUUAAAGCCAUUCUCAGUUCGGAUUGUAGGCUGCAACUCGCCUACAUGAAGUCGGAAUCGCUAGUAAUCGCGGAUCAGCAUGCCGCGGUGAAUACGUUCCCGGGCCUUGUACACACCGCCCGUCACACCAUGAGAGUUUGUAACACCCAAAGUCGGUGGGGUAACCUUUUAGGAACCAGCCGCCUAAGGUGGGACAGAUGAUUAGGGUGAAG